rnacentral:ncRNA from 1 species
GCAACUUGCCCCUGAUUGGGGGUGUUUUUCGUGAAAGAGCUUAUCUCAUUGGUUAUCGCACCAAUUUUUGUUGGGCUGGUCAUUGAACUAGUUUCUCACUGGUUAGACGAGAAAGACGAUAACUAAGCAAGUUGUCUCUAACCCACAUGUUCGGAGUCGCAACGA